rnacentral:rRNA from 1 species
GGGUUGUGAGGUUAAGCGACUAAGCGUACACGGUGGAUGCCCUGGCAGUCAGAGGCGAUGAAGGACGUGCUAAUCUGCGAAAAGCGCCGGCGAGGUGAUAUGAACCUUUGACCCGGCGAUGUCCGAAUGGGGAAACCCAGUGCAAUUCGUUGCACUAUCGUUAACUGAAUACAUAGGUUAACGAGGCGAACCGGGGGAACUGAAACAUCUAAGUACCCCGAGGAAAAGAAAUCAACCGAGAUUCCCCCAGUAGCGGCGAGCGAACGGGGAGGAGCCCAGAGUCUGAAUCAGCGUGUGUGUUAGUGGAAGCGUCUGGAAAGUCGCACGAUACAGGGUGAAAGUCCCGUACACGAAAAUGCACAGGCUGUGAACUCGAAGAGUAGGGCGGGACACGUGGUAUCCUGUCUGAAUAUGGGGGGACCAUCCUCCAAGGCUAAAUACUCCUGACUGACCGAUAGUGAACCAGUACCGUGAGGGAAAGGCGAAAAGAACCCCGGCGAGGGGAGUGAAAAAGAACCUGAAACCGUGUACGUACAAGCAGUGGGAGCAUCCUUCGGGGUGUGACUGCGUACCUUUUGUAUAAUGGGUCAGCGACUUAUAUUCUGUAGCAAGGUUAACCG